AGGUUGGUACCUGCUUAGUGGCUUAUGGACCCGAAAGGGUUAAUUUAAAGGGGCGGGGCAUAAAAAAACCUCAAAAGUUUUCUUUUUCUUUUUUUCUUUUUAGAAACUGCCGCCUGUGUUACAGUGUGAACCCUGAACCCUGCCCAGUUAGCGGACUUCUGUUUCCACCUUGGUUUUUCCUGUAGAGAGCUCCCCCUUUCUCUGUAACCCUGGCUGACCCUUUUAGAUGACCUCUUUUUUUUUUCUUUAUUUUGUUCCCGAAGCUUCUAUGUCCAAGUAUUGUUAUUUCGUAAUAAGACAAGAGUUGCUUUCCUUUUUUUAAAAAUUCUCUUUUAUUUUCCUCCCUCCCCCCAUCUCCCCCCCCUUUUGUUCACUGCUUAUUAAAAUGGAAAUCCUGGAGAAGAGUACUUUUGGAAUAUUGCCGGGUGAAGGAUUGUCAUCGCAAUAUUAUAUAUUGACACCCAACUGUCAUCAGCCAGACAGGAGCCAAACAAGUCAUACCCUUUAGGUAUUCCGCCUGCAAUUAUGUUUUGUCUGUUCCCUAAGAAAAUAGAGAGAUUUUCCUUCCAACAGACACUUCUGGACCCCAGGCUCAUCUUCGGUCUGGCUGUCCUGCUGGAAGCUGGCCCUCCCUGCCUGGAUCUGAGGGUGCGUCCAGCUGCCCUGGGAAGGAGGCCCGCAGUGAGGUUUUUCUCUCCUUUUCUGGGCCUCUGCCUGUGGGGAGCCGGGCCUCUGCCUUAGGCAUGGGCUAAGCAGCCUCUGGUCUUCCCCGGGGAUUCCAGGCCCAGUGACCUCAGGUGCCCACGGGGAAGCCUUUGUUCUUUCCUGGCUGGGCAUUUUCUGGGGACCCAGAGGACUGGGUGUGUCCCCUUCUCUGCUCCUGUUCCCCCCAGCCAGUCCUGGGAGGAUGGGGCCCCUUGCUUGGAGUCCGGGUCCUUUCUCCGAGGGGUCUGCCAGCUGCCAGCCUGAUCCGGGGCCUUUUGUUCUUUAACCUUGGACUCCCUCCCCCCCUUUUGAUUUGAUUUCUAAAACUAGAGCCAUGUCCCCCGUCUCAGGAGGGAACUGCCUCUACUGGGGCAGACGGUGGCGGUCACUGGAGGCCCAUGUUGGCAGGGACAGACGGACACCUUGGGGUGCUGCUGACCCUUGCGAAAGGCGUUUGGGACUCUGGGGGU
rnacentral:lncRNA from 1 species